rnacentral:rRNA from 1 species
ACGGCGGCCGAGGACAAGCUUCUUUGCGAGUGUUGGCGAGACAUUGGACAAGACCCCAAGACGGGCGCCGAACAAAAGCAUUCAACCUUUUGGAUUCGUGUCCACCGAGAGUUUCAUGAGCGCAAGAAGUUUCCGCCUUACCAACUUAUGAGCACCCGCGGGUGGGCGUCCAUUUCCAAGCGAUGGAGGGUGAUCCAACAAGAGUGCAACAAGUUUUGCGCCACUCUUGAGAGCAUCAAGGCCCGCCCCGUGAGCGGCAUCGGCAUGCAAGACAUGGCAUUUCAAGCUUUGGAGGCAUUCAAGGUUCAACACAACGGCAAGUGCUUCAACCUCUCCCAUUGCUUUCGGGUCAUCAAG